UCCAGCCGUUGUGGGGCCUGGUUCCUAGUGAGUCGGUAUCCCAGGCCGCCCACCCGCUGGUCGGGAUAUUUUUAACUUUUUAUUAUAGUUGACGUGUUGUGAUUGUACAUAUUUAUGGGCGUCUGGGGCGCCAGAAAUCCAGGAAAAGCUAGAGGUGUCAAGUUGGCCAGGUGCCUUUUGCCACCCAUACUACUGCUUACUGUGUCUCUAUGAUUUGGAAAAUGGUUCCUGUGCAUUUCCAGAGAGGAAAAUUUACUCCACCAAAAUAAUAUUGGUUCUCCUGAUUGAGAAUGAAUAGAUUCCUCUCAGUUGCCCAGAUUGAUGACAUUUGCGCAGCAAAAGUAUUAUCAAGCUGUCAGUGGUAGGAAUGUCAACUAGACAGCCACUUGCCUCCAAGGGCAAAAUAAAGUCUGAUCCAGAUGCCACUUCCUUGAGGCUGAUCGGGGCACUGAAGACUUUACUGAUGUCAUUUGGCAGAAGAAUACAUGGAGAUGAUCUUUGGAUACGAAAGCAUUAUCUGCAAGGCUGUUGUCAAGCAUGGAAGCCCCUUCUUUAGGCAAGCAAGAGGCACGCUCUGCAGCGCAAGUCAAGGCACUUGACCCAGACUACUGAGGGUUACUCCAAGGCAGAUAGGUGUCUUGAGGUUAUGGAUCACUCUCCCACACUUAGAAAACUGAGAUAAGUUACUUGCUUUCUAAAACUUCAGAACAUUGCCAAGAUAAGUAGCUUCUGAAUUUGGAAUAUUAACAGUGACUUUCUUUUCUCUGCUGACUCCUCUAAAGGGAACUUUCAGGUGGAAGACUUGUGUACCUUCUCGUCUGCGGUGUGUGGUUGCAGUGCUAGCCCACAGCCCAGUCUCAAGACGCACUUGGAUGAGCAACUUC